GAGUUUGAUCAUGGCUCAGAUUGAACGCUGGCGGCAUGCCUUACACAUGCAAGUCGAACGGCAGCAUGAUCUAGCUUGCUAGAUUGAUGGCGAGUGGCGAACGGGUGAGUAAUACAUCGGAACGUGCCCUGUAGUGGGGGAUAACUAGUCGAAAGAUUAGCUAAUACCGCAUACGACCUGAGAGUGAAAGUGGGGACCGCAAGGCCUCAUGCUAUAGGAGCGGCCGAUGUCUGAUUAGCUAGUUGGUGGGGUAAAGGCCCACCAAGGCGACGAUCAGUAGCUGGUCUGAGAGGACGAUCAGCCACACUGGGACUGAGACACGGCCCAGACUCCUACGGGAGGCAGCAGUGGGGAAUUUUGGACAAUGGGCGAAAGCCUGAUCCAGCAAUGCCGCGUGUGUGAAGAAGGCCUCGG
rnacentral:rRNA from 1 species